GGGCCUGUGGCGGAAUGGCAGACGCGGGGGAUUUCCACUCCCCUCCUCCUCAGGGUCCGGGUUCAAGUCCCGGCAGGCCCA
rnacentral:tRNA from 1 species